ensembl:lncRNA
UGGAGAGAGAAAGUGAGGUGCUGAAUAAAGAGAAAAUGGAUUUGAAGCUGUUGAUGUCUGACAUGAAGAAACAAUUUGAAAUAUUGGAAGAAAAGAGACAAAAUGUAAAAGAAGAGAGAGACUCAAUGGAAAUCCUGAAGCUUGAACUGCUCAAUAAGAUGGAACAUGUAAAAAGGCUGUUAAAUGAGGCAAAUAAAGAAAAAGCCAAUAUUAAAGUUUGUAUCCUUCAGGUUCAAACGGAAAAAGAAAGACUUGAAGACAUUUUAAGCAAGAUUUUCUUAAUACAUAGUGAACAAAAAGUCAAGGAAGAUGACCUCAGAAGACCAACAAAAGAACUGGAAAUGAUGAAGAAGCAAUCACAGAGUGAAAGAGAAAAAGUGGAGAGUCUGAUGAGGAAUCUCAACAAGAAGCAAGAAGAGCUUGAACGUGCAAAGGAAAUCAUGAGUGAAGAAAAAGAAGCGGUGAAACAGAUGAAGACUGACAUUGCCAAAGAACGAGAACUGUUGUUGAAGGAAAGGAGAAAUAUGGAAGAAGAGCGGUCUGAGAUGGAAAUGAGAGGAGACCAAGUCAUGGAUGAAAUGAAAUCACUAGAGACUCUGAAAGUGAAACUAGUUGCGAGGAAAUCUCUGGAAGGUCAAAUGUCUUAUGUACAAGUCAGAGAGGACAUCCUCAGUAGCGUUAGAAACUCCACAAGAGUCUUGAUAGGAAAACUAAAUAGGCUGCUUCAUCAAGCCUUACCGACAUAUAUUAACAGAUUAGAGGAGAAAAAUGAAAAAAUAUUACAACUAAUCUCUACAUAUGAACACAAUUGUGUCAGAAUUCAUAAGCAGAAAAUUAAAAUAACUGCAGAUUAUGACAAGAUACAACAACAAAAGAAACAUGUGUUAAAAAUAACAUUUGACAAAGCAAUCCAAACUGAAGAUGUUGUAAAAGAAUGCUUACAUGGGCAUCAGGCUGAAGAGACUAAUGAACAUGAAUUUGAGCAGAGGAAGAAGGAUGUUACAGGUAAUCUUGAAGGAAGCAACAGAUACUUGACACCUGACAAGGAAGGUCUGCUGUUAGUAGCAGAAGGUGAAGAAUUUGAAAAUGUCAAGAAAAGAAAACUUGCAACGUUGUCAAUCUUGUCAGCAGGGGACGAUGACUUCACACAGAAGGGAAUUUUAAAAACUGAGUUUUUGAAACAAAUCUGGAAGGACACUAGAAUUGAACGAAAGGAGAUCAAUCAGAUGAAGCUCAGAGGUCAAAAAAUGAGAAACAAUCUGGAUAAAAGAGUAAAGGUGCUCAAUCAGUUUGUUAGGAGAUCAAUAUUACAGAAAGAAAAGACAUCAGUUGAGAAAACAAGAAAAAUGUUGGAACAUGGGCAAAGUAAGAAGUUUUUAUCUGAAAGUGGCAGGGAUGGAGAUCACAAAUCACUUGAUGAAAAAUAUACCGAGCUCCAACAACUUAAGGUCCACAUGCUUAGUGAGAUUGAGAAAUUCCACAUACAAAACAAAGCAUCUAAGACACUGACAACUAGCAACAAAGCUAAUCAAACAGUUCAACUAGAUUCUCCAAAUAUCUAUCAAGAGCAAAUGAAGGUAGAAGAAUCUGAAGCAGCACCAGAGAGAUCUCCUGGACUCCUCUGUCAUCUCCGACUUUCCUGCUAUCGCUGUUGCUCCCGUUAUUGUGCCUGCUGCAAGCAAGGGUGUCCAAAGAAAAAAUGAGAGGCAAGAAAAGUGCUAAAUAAAAAUCAGUCCAUUCACCAUUUGUUUUACUUUUUAGUUAUAUUAAUAUGUGUGUAUUUGGAAAAUGUAUUUUUCCUGUUAAUCAUCAUAACCUAACAACGUAAGAGUACCAGUAUGAUGUCAAUCAUCUAAUUUUUAAACAACUAGUUAUGUAAUGUAAAACUAUUCUUUUAUCAUGUGAUUUUUUUUUCACAAAUGCUGAAUAUUAAAUAAAUGUUAAAAAUUUCCAGCACGGUGGCAUGGUGGUUAGCACUGUUGCCGCACAGCAAGAAGGUCCUGAGUUCAAUUCCACCAUCAGGCCGGGGUCUUUCUGUGUGGAGUUUGCAUGUUCUCCCCGUGUUUGCGUGGGUUCCCUCCGGGUACUCCGGCUUCCUCCCACCGUCCAAAGACAUGCAGUUUGAGGGGAUAGGUUAAUUGGAUAAUCCAAAUUGUCACUAGGUGUGAAUGUGUGAGUGAAUGUGAGCGUGAAUGGUUGUCUGUCCCUGUGUGUUGGCCCUGCGACAGACUGGCGACCUGUCCAGGGUGUACCCCGCCUCUCGCCCUAUGACAGCUGGGAUAGGCUCCAGCGCCCCCCGCGACCUUGGAAAGGAUAAGCGGAAGCGAAUGGAUGGAUGGAAAUUUCCAGUGAAUCUAUAUUAUCUAAGUGUAACAGAUAAUCUUAACAUUUUUAAUUACAUUUUUAUGCUGAUUUUUAAUUUAUCUUCUUUCAAGAUAUUUAUUCUGUUGUCUUGUAUUAGAAUAAAGAAACACAAAGAAUACAGUAAAAUCAAAGCUAACAAGAAUAUUUGAAAAACUGUGACUCCAUAUAUAUUCAUAUUUAACCUCCUAGGACCUGGCGUCCACAUAUGUGAACAUCAUAUUUUGGGUUGUCCAAACCACAAUACUAAAUUUCCUCCAUAAGUGCCUGAUAUCACUUACGAGGACAUUAUACUGCCGCUGUUCUAUCAAAAUGUAAAACAAAUGUCCUCAUAUGUGUAUAUCCAGCCCUUGUAGAGCAAAAUCAGGUAAAAAGAUAAUUCUUUGUUGGUGCAUUCAUCAGGUCCCAAUCAGCCCAAAUAGCAAAGAGAAAUUAAAAAUGCAUGCCAUGAAAGAUUUUGGGUCUUAGGAGGUUAAAUGAAAGAAAAAUGCAUGUUUAACAUAAAUUUUAUCCCUGAAUAAAUCUUUUUCCAAAACCAUUCACAUCACUGCAAUAUUUUUCUUUUGGUAAAUUUUUAAAUAUAUAAGAACCCAAUUGUUUGAAACAUUAUUUAUAUUAAUUACACAGUUACAUGUAAAUUGAACCAUUUAAUAUAAAACCCAUGCCAUGCAUUUGGCUUCAUUGGGGUAUAUCAUGUACACAUACAUGUCAUAUAUUCCUGUGAACCCUUUGCGUUGGUAGUAUGGACCUGGAAAGUGUAGACAAAAUAAGCAACACUUGAUUCUGUAACUCGCCUGAUUCUUCAAUACAAUUUUUUAUUGUAUUUUUAGUGAAAUGAUUUUCUUCAUAAUAUUUAGAAAAUCAUUAUUAGAAUUCAGAAUCUUUUUUCGAAAGAUUUUAGAAAGUUCUUUAAAUCUUGGGAAAGAUGACCAAUAAGACAACAGGCCUAGUUAGAUCUUUAAAUAAACCCAGCUCACUUGUUGAUCCAUCCAACAAGGUUAUAAUGGUUGACAUCCUAUCUGAAGCCGAGAUUCUAAUAUUUAAUCCUUUAGGUCAGUGGUUCUCAAACUUUUCACAAUGAGUACCACCUUAUAAAAUAUAUGGCUCUUAAAGUACCACCCUUAUGCCGACAUUAAAGUACAGUAGUAUAGGCCUAUUUAACACCAUAUACAGUUUACAGGAGACUAUUUUAUUUAUUAUAUGGAUGUUAUUAUUUUAACUGUCAUAAACAGGAUGUGACAAGUGAUAAUAAUAACAACUGUACUGCAUUAAAACAUUCACAGCAGGUGGGAUAUCCGGUCUUUAAGUGAUGACGUAUGAACCCUGCUUCCGGGUCCAAACUACUCUGUAUUUAUUAAGGCUGUUGUGUUUUUAACAUGUUUUAAUGCUUUGUAUCUUGUUCUAUUUCAUCUAAACAAGCCCCUAAAAAAAGUCAGUGAUCACUGUCGGCCUCUCUUGGUUUUUAUUAUCACUAUUCAUUUUAAAGCUCAGUUUUUAAAACCUUACGAUGCAAAUACAGCCCAGCCCAUGCAGCAAUAUAUUAAUGACUAACCUCGUAUUGUGGAUGGAUUAUCUCAGUUGUUAGUGAGUGAUAGCAGAUUUUUUCAGAAAUCCCUUCAGAAAUCAAUUUUUCAGAAAUCCCUCAAUCAGAACAUGGUAUAUUGUUUAAUCUUAAAAAUUUUUUUUGGAGACUUCCCGUGUACCAGUUGACUGCUAUAAGUCAACUGGGACCAUUCUGUGUAGUGUUUUUAUGCUCUCCCAGUGGCUGUGUGAGUUUCUUUUGAGUUACUUUAGCUUCCUCCAACUGUCCAAAGAUGUGCUUGCUAGCUUACAUGGUGAUUUGAUACCUACAUGCACUGUAGGUGUGGAUGUCACAUGCUUAGCUGUCUGUACUGGCAUUGCGAUGUUCUGGUGACCUGGUUGUAUCAGGUUGUACCCUGAUACAGCUGUGAGAGCUGUGACAGGCUCAAGUCUUGUGACCUCAAGUUGGAUAAGCAGUUAAAAAAUGGAUAGAUGGGAUAUUGCUACUUAGUUGACCAUCUAUGUCUGAAUAUGUGGGUUUUAUCUGUAUGCAGAAGGAUAAUAAGUUGAAACAGUCAACGGUUUUAGAUGACAGCAGUGAAUGGACCAAGUGAGUUGGUUUUUAAAAGUGAAGAGGAGCUUGUUUGUGACUAGAUGUUUUCUAAGCACUCAGUGUUUGCUUAAAAAUUCUGAUAAAGAUUUUCCCCAGCUCAUGACUGUCAAAUGUAAGAAAAAGAAAAAUCAUGAAGUUGCUACACAAAAAAAUGUUAACUUAUUUUAAAAAUAUUCUUCUACAACUGCUUUCUGCUUCUUAUAAAAUAUAUAAAUAUAGAAGAGUUAAAUCCAAGUUAAAUUCAGUUUCUUGUCUCAUUUGUCCCUUGUCCCUUGCAACAGUUUGACCCAAACAGACUCCUCGACUCUGCGUUGUGUUGUGUUUUUAAGAAGACAAGGAGUCUCUGAUCGAUCGUUGCCACUUUAUUUCCUGAAUGGAAACAACGGUGUUGUAUCAGUACAAAGGGCUCGCCACACACCACUCCGCACAGCCAGUAGCGGUUUUAGAUACGGGCGACACGGGCGGUUGCCCGGGGCGGCAUCGUGGUGGGGGCGG